rnacentral:rRNA from 1 species
AUUGAACGCUGGCGGCAUGCUUUACACAUGCAAGUCGAACGGUAACAGGCCUUCGGGUGCUGACGAGUGGCGAACGGGUGAGUAAUGCAUCGGAACGUGCCCAGAGGUGGGGGAUAACGCAGCGAAAGCUGUGCUAAUACCGCAUGUGAUCUGAGGAUGAAAGCGGGGGACCAGGCAGCAAUGUUUGGCCUCGCGCCUUUGGAGCGGCCGAUGUCAGAUUAGGUAGUUGGUGGGGUAAAGGCCUACCAAGCCGACGAUCUGUACCUGGUCUGAGAGGACGACCAGCCACACUGGGACUGAGACACGGCCCAGACUCCUACGGGAGGCAGCAGUGGGGAAUUUUGGACAAUGGGCGCAAGCCUGAUCCAGCAAUGCCGCGUGCGGGAAGAAGGCCUUCGGGUUGUAAACCGCUUUUGUACGGAACGAAAAGGCUCUGGCUAAUACCUGGGGCUGAUGACGGUACCGUAAGAAUAAGCACCGGCUAACUACGUG